AGUCGUAACAAGGUUUCCGUAGGUGAACCUGCGGAAGGAUCAUUAUUGAAAUAAACCUGAUGGGUUGUUGCUGGCUCUCUAGGGAGCAUGUGCACGCCUUGUCAUCUUUAUAUCUCCACCUGUGCACUUUUUGUAGACCUGAAAAGGUCUAUGUUGCUUCAUUUUACCCCAAUGUAUGUCUAUAGAAUGUUGUGCCUAUGAUAAUAUAUACAACUUUCAGCAACGGAUCUCUUGGCUCUCGCAUCGAUGAAGAACGCAGCGAAAUGCGAUAAGUAAUGUGAAUUACAGAAUUCAGUGAAUCAUCGAAUCUUUGAACGCACCUUGCGCUCCUUGGUAUUCCGAGGAGCAUGCCUGUUUGAGUGUCAUUAAUAUAAUCAACCUUCAACUUGUUUGAGUGGUUUGGAUGUGGGGGUUUGCUGGCCUCUCAAAAGGNUUCAGCUCCUCUGAAAUGCAUUAGCAGAACAAACCUUGUUCAUUGGUGUGAUAACUAUCUACGCUUAUGAAUGUGAGGGGCAGUUCAGCUUUCUAAUCGUCUUUGGACAAUUCAUCAUUAAUGUGACCUCAAAUCAGGUAGGACUACCCGCUGAACUUAAGCAUAUCAAUAAGCGGAGGAAAAGAAACUAACAAGGAUUCCCCUAGUAACUGCGAGUGAAGCGGGAAAAGCUCAAAUUUAAAAUCUGGCGGUCUUUUNGCUGUCCGAGUUGUAAUCUAGAGAAGUGUUAUCCGCGCUGGACCGUGUACAANUCUCCUGGAAUGGAGCAUCAUAGAGGGUGAGAAUCCCGUCUUUGACAUGGACUGCCAGGGCUUUGUGAUGCGCUCUCAAAGAGUCGAGUUGUUUGGGAAUGCAGCUCAAAAUGGGUGGUAAAUUCCAUCUAAAGCUAAAUAUUGGCGAGAGACCGAUAGCGAACAAGUACCGUGAGGGAAAGAUGAAAAGAACUUUGGAAAGAGAGUUAAACAGUACGUGAAAUUGCUGAAAGGGAAACGCUUGAAGUCAGUCGCGUUGUCCAGGGAUCAACCUUGCUUUUGCUUGGUGCACUUCCUGGUUCGACGGGUCAGCAUCAAUUUUGAUCGUUGGAAAAAGGCUGGGGGAAUGUGGCAUCUCUGGAUGUGUUAUAGCCCUUGGUCACAUACAAUGGUUGGGAUUGAGGAACUCAGCACGCCGCAAGGCCGGGUUUUAAACCACGUACGUGCUUAGGAUGCUGGCAAUAUGGCUUUAAUCGACC
rnacentral:rRNA from 1 species